rnacentral:rRNA from 1 species
UUCCGGUUGAUCCUGCCGGACCUGACUGCUAUCGGAUUGAUACUAAGCCACGCGAGUUUUUGUAGCAAUACAAGGCAUACGGCUCAGUAACACGUAGUCAAUCUAACCUAUGGACGAGGAUAACCUCGGGAAACUGAGAAUAAUACUCGAUAGAUCAUUAUGCCUGGAACGGUUUAUGGUUAAAAUGAAUUUCGCCAUAGGAUGGGACUGCGGUCUAUCAGCUUGUUGGUGAUGUAAUGGACCACCAAGGCUAUAACAGAUACGGGCUCUGAGAGGAGAAGCCCGGAGAUGGGUACUGAAACACGGACCCAGGCCCUAUGGGGCGCAGCAGGCGAGAAAACUUUGCAAUGUGCGAAAGCACGACAAGGUUAAUCCGAGUGAUUCCUGCUAAAGAAAUCUUUUGUUAGUUCUAAAACCACUAUCGAAUAAGGGGUGGGCAAGUUCUGGUGUCAGCCGCCGCGGUAAAACCAGCACCUCAAGUGGUCAGGAGGAUUAUUGGGCCUAAAGCAUCCGUAGCCGGCUAUGCUAGUUUUCGGUUAAAUCCAUGUGCUCAACAUAUGGGCUGUCGAGAAUACUGCAUAGCUAGGGAGUGGGAGAGGUAGACGGUACUCGGUAGGAAGGGGUAAAAUCCUUUGAUCUAUCGAUGACCACCAGUGGCGAAGGCGGUCUACCAGAACACGUCCGACGGUGAGGGAUGAAGGCUGGGGGAGCAAACCGGAUUAGAUACCCGGGUAGUCCCAGCUGUAAACUAUGCAAACUCAGUGAUGCAUUGGCUUGUGGCCAGUGCAGUGCUCGCAGAGAAGUCGUUAAGUUUGCCGCCUGGGAAGUACGUACGCAAGUAUGAAACUUAAAGGAAUUGGCGGGGGAGCACCACAAGGGGUGAAGCCUGCGGUUCAAUUGGAUUCAACGCCGGGAA